CACGUACAUAGGACCAGAUAGUGUAGAAAAUCAUAAUUUCACACCUGAAAGAUGCCACUCCCAAUCAUUGCUCUCCUCAGCUAAAUAUUGUUGAGGCAAAGAAUUAUUCAGCCUGGAAGUGACCAUGGGAGGUCUCAUGACCAAUCUUCUGCUGAAAUCAGGGUCAAUGCUAAAGUCAGAUCAAGUUGAUCAAUUUGAACUAUUUCAUCACAGGAUCAGAAGAGCAGAAGGAAAAGGAAGAAACAUUCUGCUAGCUGUGAGAAUAAAAGCCAGAAUUGGUCACUUCUGACUGGGACUAAAGGCAGAACCACCUACUCAGCUGAAUGCUAGCACCCUGUUUUACAACCCACAGACACGGAUACCUGCAAAGAACAAGUCAUGUUGCUCCAAAAAAUAGAGAAAUUCAUCAUUAAUUUCAGGAAAUUUUAUUCUAAACCUAAUCUCCCGGAGGUUUAAUUUCAAGGAAAUUAAUAUUUGUUCUUGGAGGAAGAAGUAACAAAGAGCAUUUAAAAAAAAAAAAACCAAAAACACAACUAUGUCCGUAAGUAAAUACUUUGAGUAUGUUGAGUUUUAUGUAAAAGCAGUUCAUAGCCUACUGUCAACUUCUUGUCUUUUUUUUCUCUGAUACAUCUACACUCUGCUAGCCACGCUAAAGUAGCUUAAUAAUUCAGUAAAUAAAUGCAUUCAUUAAUUAUUUAGAAUAGUACCAGAGUAAAAGAAGGAAGCCAGUGUUGUAUCAUAGCCCAUGAAUUUUCUGUUUUUCUAAAAAUUAUCACGAUAGUAUUGACAAGGAAAAUGGAGGAAUAUAUAUUACUGUGGUUUACAAAGUGAGAAAGUGAAUAGGGGCUGUUGUCUGCUCCUGGUGCUGCAGUUGCAGCUGAUUGAAUUUACCUCCUGUUGCUAUAAAUGACCUGACCUUAACAUUUCCACUGUAGCAUCACUCAUAGAAAUGUUAAUGACUUUUCAAUCUCACUUUUUUUAUGUCAGUGUUCUCCCUACAUUCAAGUCAAUGUCUAAGAAUAUAUUAUUAGUCAUAAACUGUAACAGCAGAUGAUCAAUGUUUAAUGUUUACACUACAGACACCUCAAAAUUCUUUAACACCUAACUACAUUUGUAUUAUCAGAUUACCACUGGAAGACUUUUGGACCAGAUUCCACAGCAGUAUAUAUUAUAGCAUUUAAUUCAGUGGCAUUUCAUUGAAAUGCUGAUUGAUAGGAAUUAAAAAUCCAACUCUUAAUGUCAGAGAAGUUACAUUGGAUAUGUGUGUGGUAAGAGUAGAGGGAUGAGGGAUGCCUUUCUGUCUUUUUUAGCAGACCUUAUCUGCUUUUCCAAGAUAGAUUACAGAAAAAAAAUUUGAUAGAAAAAAAAUUGUCUAGGUUUGAAUUAACCCAACAUUUGUGUUAGUUUCUUAUACUAUCAGGAGUUAUAGUCUCACUAUUAGCAGUAAAUAAGACUAUUUAUGUGACAAGUUACCCAGAACCACCCACUCUAAGUUAAGACUAAGCUGUACAUGCACUUUUACUGCACAUUCAUCAACAUAAAAAAAAAUAACAUGAAUUUUACUCCAUAUCUUCAGUUUUAAUGUGAGAAAGUGACAGUGAUGACAUAGCAGAAAUUCUCAAUCCCAUAAAUAAGUGCCUAUGUUUCCUUGUUGUGUUCUUUUCUGGAUUUAUUAAGUGUGGUAUUCCCACAGCAGGAUUCAGAAAUAAGAUGAGAAAUCCAUUUUUCAUCCAGAAUUACUUGUCCCAUUGAAUAGGAGCAUCGUUCAUUUUAUGAUUUGAAUAGUAUUUAAAAAAUAACUAUCAGUUAUUUAAGCAUACUACUAAGAAACUGUAGUUUGAAUCAAGGUGUUAUUGCAGGUACUUUAUACAAACAGGGGAAAAACAACUCCUCUUGGCUAUCCUAAAAUCUGGUGAAAGACAAAAAGCACAGAUUCCACAGAAAUUGAAAAGAAGAAAAUGAAGCUAAUUUAGCAAUAACAGAAACACUGUCAGUAAAACAUUAUAUAGCCACAUGCACAAUGUCUGUGUUGCAGACUAAUAUUUAUUUUAUAAUUCUCUUCAUAAAUCAAACAAGCAUUAGGAAAGACUUAUUUGUUGUAAUGUGUGUAAAAAUCUUAGUAGUCAUUUUUGCAAACCAUAUUAACAACUUUGUUAUCUGAUAGGCUGGAGUAAUCAAU
ensembl:lncRNA